UAUUAGCAUAUAUUUUUUUCUUAAAGGGGUAGUUCACCCAAAAAUGAUCAUACUCACUCUUGAGUUGUUCCAACCCUGUUUAAAUAUAUUUGUUCAACAGCUGAUUACUUUUUGUUAACUUUCUACACGUAGAUGCAAUUGCUGUUGAUCUUGGCCGUUUGUUUAUUUUCUUUGCUUUCAAACUGGAAAUCUCAUCUUCAGGGCCAAACGCAACAGGGCAAUAAACAGUUAGAAAAAUAUGCUAGAGGGUACUGUUCUGAAUAAUUUAUUCGCAACUGUUUAACCUUGCAUUAAAUAAAUAAUACAGUGACGUAAUAAUGAUUUCACCUUGGGAUGAUUCACUGUACUCAAGAACUGUAAAAAAAAAAAAGCAUUUAAAGAAGAUAUAUGUAGCCAAUGAUGAUAAUCUCUCUUUGGGGCGUGCCUUAUUUUACAUGGCCCAUAAAGAUAGCCGUAGAUGUGGUAGGAAUGUGCGUCUCAUCGUCACGGGUGACGUCAUCUAUUUCCGGUGUGUCGCGGGAGUGUUUGUUUGGUAAGGAGCUGCAGUCGCGGCUGUAUUCCUGAACACUUUGAAUCAAACUAGGUUUUACGUACUUAUUUGGGCUCGCGUAUUUUUCUAGUGUGGACUGAGGAAGCCUGCGGUGCAGCGCAUGUGGUACCCGAUUGCAUUUGCGUCCUGGAAUUUGAAUGUCCUGUGCCUUGCAAGCCAUUUAAACCGGUAGGUUGUUAUUUAUUAUUUGCUGCACUAAGGGUCUGGAUUGAGCACUUUAAAUUUGUAUCUAUCUUUCUAGUUACAGACCAGGGGAGAAACAUUGCAGUGGGUUUCUUGACGGAGCUUUUGUGGCUGUCUUCGCAUAUGCCGACUGUUAUACCACUGAUUGUUGCUCAGUAGUGCCGCAUACCGUCACGUUACGGACCCUCGUCUCACGGUACUUUACUGGCUCGACUGCAGGAAUGGAUGCGUAAUCUGCCGCGAACUGCAAUCACGUACUGCUAUGGUAUGGUGUUUAUUUAAAGCUGGACACUUGUAUCGGCUGUCUGGUGGUCGAGCGUGCCGGGGAUCCGCUACGAUGGCCUCCGUUGCUCUCGCUUAGGGGGAUCAAGUGAUUCAACCAUCCAGCAGUCAUUAUUUUGAUCUGGUUCCUUUUUUUGAGUGGUAUAACGUUAUAUAAUUUGAAUUAUCUUUUGCUUAUUGUGUUUUGCUUUGUUUAUGAGUCCAUUGCUUUAAAACUUAGUAUUUUUUUUUUUUGUAGAUUUGUUUUUUUGAAUUUAUUAUUUUGUUGUCAACCAAAUUUCUGUGAAUUGGUUGUUAACUGAAUGGUUUCUUUUUGUUUGAUUAUAUUUGUCUAUUAUUUUUCUUGCAUUCACCGUUUCAAGUACUGAUUUACUAGCGGAUGGUGACCAUAUGUGUGUGUAAUUGCUCUUAAUGCAUGGAGUACUCAGUUUUAUAAUGUGUGUAUAUUUGAUUGGAUGUUUAAUGUGUAAUUCUGCUUCCUCUCCAGUGGUUGGGGUGAUCAGGAUUCGUGUCUGUGUGGACGAGUCUCUCUCUCUCGGUGGUGGUCUCUUCCGAUUGCAGUGUUCCACAUUUGUGGUCUGAAGUGUGAGUGCACGAGUGUUUGCUGUGUCAUUUUCAGGGAAUGAGCGAGUAGUCCCCAGCCCUGGAGUGGAGGUUGAAGUGUGUGUGUGUGGUAGUGUGUAUUUGAUUCAUAUAUUUACAUUUGCUAAUGAUGUCCAAAUAAAAACUGUACUUUUGUAUUCCAUCUGUCUCUGGUCUUAUCUCAGCCGCAACCGAACCUGUGUGCUUUAAAGUUAAUCUUAUCAGGCGAUUCCCCGGUAAAUUUGCCUCCGGGGUGGCGUAGUCGGGUAUCUUAGAGGGCUAGAGUUUAUGUCUGCCUUUUGGGGGUGAGGUGUAAACUUUCAAAUUUAUGCCCUUUGUAAACGAACACGCCGCUACAUAUAGAUAUAGACAACAUAUACAUAUAUAUAUGCAUUUUGGCUUUUCUUGAUCAUUCCAAAUUCAUUUGUUUUGCAUGUAUGGGUUUGUCUAUGGUGUCUUUCUAGGUUUGGUGGGCUGAAGUUCUUCUGCAAGAAACAAGUCACAACUGCAAUUGUCUCUCAGUGUGAAAACUUUAUCUUAUUUACAGUGUCAGCACAGAUUUUAUACCUCUAAAUGUUCUUGGUGGUAUAAUUUUUCGUGAACUAUUUCCAUCUGAGUCUUCAACAUGGGAAGUUUCAACUGCUUUUCGUGCCCGAUACCUUGCUAAGUUGUAACUGUCUGUUCUCAAAAAUAUCACAAAUUUUGUUUAAUAAAUCUUAUAUAAAUAAUUGAUAUUUUAGGAAUGGUUGCUAGUAGUUGAUGAGAUCCUGGUAUUAUACUUUACCUGUGUCAGAAUAUACUCUGACGACAUAUUUUGUCCAGAGAUAUUUGUCUGGAAUGGCACAUUUUAUGACCUUGGUCCCAACAUUUGAAUUGGGCCAAUAGCAGAACAGUACCUUUCAGACAGAGACAAGGAUGCUUGCUUAAUGUUUUCUAUGUAUAUAAUUGACCUUGAUUUAAUGUGUAUCAUUUAUGUUUUAUAAAAACAUAUAUGGACUAAAUCCUACUCCAUCAAUCCUUUCGAGCCACGAAGAUGGUGCCACCUCAACCUCAUUUUGCUCAGUGAAAUUGAGGACUACAUAGCGAAGAUAAACCUGAUUUCAAAAGCGAAUGGCACUGGAGAGCAUGAAGAAGGAUGACAGAAGGAAGCUGUAGGAGGCAGAAACUCAUGGGGCAAAUCUUCAGGACCCAGAAACUCAGGAGUAAAGCCGAAGCAGUUAGACACACAGGGGACAAAGCUUCAAGAGGUGGAGACUCAGGGGUGAAGCUGAAGGAUGUAGAGACUCAGGGAGCAAAGGAAUACUUCAAAAAGUAUGAAGAAUGGACACCUCAAAGCAUUUGAGAAUGCCUGAUAGCCACGUAUGUUCCAUAGAGGCGUGAAUCACACGGUGUCGUCAGAUGUGGCUGUAGAUUUGUGUACACCCUGCAUAACACUGUGUCAUCUGCUUGUUCUGACGCCACCUCGUAAAAUUGUUCAGGGCCUAACACAAAGGCAUUGUUUGGGCACUUGAAUGACAUCAAGUUUUCCUUGAUUUCUAUCUUGGACAUGGAUGUUUCCUCAAGACGAUUUGCAACUUGUGCCAAAACAUUUUUUCCAGAUCGUACCAUUUUUUUCAGUUGAUGAAGAUAGCUCUCGAACUUGAAAGCACUGCAGCUGUCAAGGCUGCCAAAGUUUUGGGCAUCUUCUGCAAGGUGCAGCAAGGAAUGGUCAUUGUAUACCAAAAAUGUCUCUCCAUACAGCUCCCUGUCACGUGUCGGCCCGUCUGAGUUCCUGUUUGUCCUUAUUUGGUUUAGUUCCUGUUCUUGUUUGUUAAUUAUCAUUCAUUGUCCCCACCUGAUUUGGAUUAUGUUGUUUGCUCUUUUGUUCCCUUUCAUUUAUAAGUCCUCAGUUUUCCCCUUGUCGUUUUCUCGUCUUAACGUCAAAUAAAUGGAAAAGUGUGUUUAUGUUUAUUUCGUUCUCUAAGUCUUUUAUUUUAUGUUUGCUAAAACCACAAGCCCGUGAAGUGUUCAUAGAGCUGCUCUUGGAGAAUUCCCUUUAGAACAAUCUUCCCUGUGUAGAUAGCAAACUGUCUGAACUCUGUUGCUUUCCAGCGAUCUAUUUCCUGCAAGCUCCUUGGCUUCCUGGCAAAGCAAUCUGGAAUGGACCUCUUUAGUGUCUCCAGCCUGCCACUUACAUGGGUCACAUCUCCUGAUGACAUCCGGAAAUCUGUUCUCCCUCUUGUCCACAAGAGCAGAAGCUUUUUCAUUACCCCGAGACAGCUCUGGUGCAUAUAAUCUAUGGGGAAUGAUUUGAUCAUGUCGAUUGGAGGACAGAGAAGGGUGAGAUCUCCUCUUCUUGAUGGUGUUCAGGUUGCCAGCAUUCCCUGAAUGAUUGAUCUGUUCUCAUGGUCAGGUUAUUUGUUUCGGCAUAUGUUAUCCGACCAUCCCAAGAUCCCCUCUGGUUGCAUUUAUCGCACCCAUAGUAUCCAGAAAACUGCUUUACACACUUUACCAUAGCUUUAGCUGGAGCAUCGCAGGUAACACAUCGUAGUUGGAUGUUUAAGCAUCUCCCUCCCCAGGUAAGACCAUGGACUGGAGUAGUUCUGCCAAUUGCUGAACUGUGUCAGAGGCAAGGUUUGGUGUUUUGAGUUUGGAAGCAGUGGAUAUGCACAGAAGGAAAAUACAUCUUGGAGACAAGUUUAUGGAACAAAGAACUGGCCAGAGGGAUACGUUUGAGCUUUUGAACACUGGCAGCCCAUCAAUGUUCAGGGAGAGGUCAAGUGACUGAAGAAGAUCUGUCACAGCUGCAGGAGACCUGCUCAGAUGUUUUGAGAGCUGAUCUGCCACAUUAAACUGUACACUCUCGACACCAUAUUUGGUAGUAAGUUCAUGGUUCGUGUGUCCGAAGAGCGUCCUUGCAGUAUGGGGAAGGUCUUCAUGCCCAUGUCUUUUAAGCAUGUUUAAUAGAACAUCCACAGCAUUAUGUUUAACUUGAAGCAUACAUGCCCAUUCGGAAAGUUGUUCCCUGAGUGUGGGUGUAAUACCUUGUUCGCUCUCAGAACUUGACAGGGCUGGGUCUGAAAACAUGUCAAGAUGAUCUUCCUCAAUGUGCUGGUUGUGAUUAAGGCUGUCGCUUUCAGCAAUGCUGGCCAUCUCAACUGAAUUGAUAGUUUCUUUGUUGUCUGCCUUCUUUUGUGCCCUUGACACUCUAGCCCAGAUUUUGUUGUACUGCCUCCUACACUCUUUGGAUGUCCUCAAGCUACUGUACUGGUGUCUCUGCCAAUAAUUCAAUAAAUUAAAUUUUUCAGUACA